CGUAGGAGACAAACGUUAUCCGGAGUUACUGGGCGUAAAGGGCGUGUAGGCGGUUGGUUAAGUCUGGCGUGAAAGCUCUCGGCUAAACCGGGAGAGGUCGUUGGAUACUGGCCAACUAGAGGACGGUAGAGGCGUGUGGAAUUCCGGGUGUAGUGGUGAAAUGCGUAGAGAUCCGGAGGAACACCAGUGGCGAAGGCGACACGCUGGGCCGUACCUGACGCUAAAGCGCGACAGCAUGGGGAGCGAACGGGAUUAGAAACCCCGGUAGUCCAUGCCGUAAACGAUGCCAGCUAGGUGUUCAAGACGCGCAAGCGGCUGGGGUACCGAAGCAAACGCGAUAAGCUGGCCGCCUGGGGAGUACGGUCGCAAGGCUA
rnacentral:rRNA from 1 species